rnacentral:rRNA from 1 species
AGGGAAUCUUCGGCAAUGGACGAAAGUCUGACCGAGCAACGCCGCGUGAGUGAAGAAGGUUUUCGGAUCGUAAAGCUCUGUUGUAAGAGAAGAACGAGUGUGAGAGUGGAAAGUUCACACUGUGACGGUAUCUUGCCAGAAAGGGACGGCUAACUACGUGCCAGCAGCCGCGGUAAU